rnacentral:rRNA from 1 species
UGGGGAAUAUUGGUCAAUGGGCGCAAGCCUGAACCAGCCAUGCCGCGUGAGUGAAGAAGGCCUUAGGGUUGUAAAGCUCUUUCAGCGGGGACGAUAAUGACGGUACCCGCAGAAGAAGCCCCGGCUAACUUCGUGCCAGCAGCCGCGGUAAUACGAAGGGGGCUAGCGUUGUUCGGAAUUACUGGGCGUAAAGCGCGCGUAGGCGGACGCUUAAGUCAGGGGUGAAAGGCCGGGGCUCAACCCCGGAACGGCCCUUGAUACUGGGCGUCUGGAGUCCGGAAGAGGUUGGUGGAAUUCCGAGUGUAGAGGUGAAAUUCGUAGAUAUUCGGAGGAACACCAGAGGCGAAGGCGGCCAACUGGUCCGGUACUGACGCUGAGGCGCGAAAGCGUGGGGAGCAAACAG